UUUGACCUCGGAUCAGGUAGGGAUACCCGCUGAACUUAAGCAUAUCAAUAAGCGGAGGAAAAGAAACCAACAGGGAUUGCCUCAGUAACGGCGAGUGAAGCGGCAACAGCUCAAAUUUGAAAUCUGACCCCUUCGGGGCCCGAGUUGUAAUUUGUAGAGGGUGUUUCGGGCGCGGCGCCGGUCUAAGUUCCUUGGAACAGGACGUCAUAGAGGGUGAGAAUCCCGUAUGUGACUGGCGAUCAAGUCCAUGUGAAGC
rnacentral:rRNA from 1 species